ACAUGCAUUACCGGGUGAGUCUUCCUUGGCAGUGUUCGAAUCGGCAGUACCGGUCUGCAAGUGAUCGGUCAAUCACCAGUUCACCGCUGCCAAAGGAGAUUUGCCCAGCAAUGCAACU
rnacentral:pre_miRNA from 17 species